CACGUAGGGCGCAAGCGUUGUCCGGAAUUAUUGGGCGUAAAGAGCGUGUAGGCGGCCCGAUAAGUCCGCUGUGAAAGUCCAGGGCUCAACCCUGGAAUGCCAGUGGAAACUGUCGGGCUGGAGUCCGGAAGAGGCGAGUGGAAUUCCUGGUGUAGCGGUGAAAUGACGCAGAUAUCAGGAGGAACACCGGUGGCGAAGGCGGCGAUCUGGACGAUGACUGACGCUGAGACGCGAAAGCGUGGGGAGCAAACAGG
rnacentral:rRNA from 1 species